GCGGCGGUGGUGAAAUUGGUAGACACACCAGCUUGAGGGGCUGGCGGGGGUUUCCCUAUGAAGGUUCAAGUCCUUUCCGCCGCA
rnacentral:tRNA from 1 species